rnacentral:misc_RNA from 1 species
UGACCAAUCCCGCAAGGGGUCUUGGGGUCCGCAGUUCGCUGCGGCCCUUAAAAUCAGUGGCGGCGCCAGCGGUGCUCUCAGCGUAGUAAUACUCCUCGCUCGGGAACCACGGUGGAUGCUUGUCAUCAACCCAACUUAUACUA